GGCCCACGGGGGGCAGCAGUGGGGAAUAUUGCGCAAUGGGCGAAAGCCUGACGCAGCGACGCCGCGUGAGGGAUGAAGGUCUUCGGAUCGUAAACCUCUGUCAGCAGGGAAGAACGGUCACUGUGCUAAUCAGCAGUGAAUUGACGGUACCUGCAAAGGAAGCACCGGCUAACUCCGUGCCAGCAGCCGCGGUAAUACGGAGGGUGCGAGCGUUAAUCGGAAUUACUGGGCGUAAAACGCGCGGCGGCGGUAUGUCAACUCAAGGGUGAAAUCCCCGCGCCCAACGUGGGAACUGCCUUGGAAAA
rnacentral:rRNA from 1 species